AGCGCAACUUCCUGACUAGGGGCCAAUCAGCGGGCCCUCCAGGAAGUCCAGGCGCAGGGGUGGGCCGGGAGCUUAGCUUCCGGUGGCAGGGUCUGGGGAAGGGGCGGCAGGCGCCAUGUCCGGCCGCGAAGGUGGCAAGAAGAAGCCCCUGAAACAGCCCAAGAAGCAGGCCAAGGAGAUGGACGAGGAAGAUAAGGCAUUCAAGCAGAAGCAAAAAGAGGAGCAGAAGAAACUUGAGGAGCUAAAAGCGAAGGCCGCGGGGAAGGGCCCCCUGGCCACGGGUGGAAUUAAGAAAUCUGGCAAAAAGUGAGCUGUUCCCGUGACGGGGGCACUGGUGGUCCUUCAUCCCCUUCCUGCUUUAACAUCUGGGUUCCCUGCCAUAACAUCUUUUGCCACCUGUAGCUAGGAUGAAGUGUCAUCUGGGAGCCUGCUGUACAUUUAAGAAUAAACUUUUGUAAAAAAUAAUCAUGACAAUAGCCACGCAGUGGCUCGUCGUCUUAGCUCUUCUCCGUCUGCCAUCUCAGCCUCGGCUGUGAGGUCAGAGGGGACCCAGCCCGGGGUCCUGUCCCAGUGUGUUCCUCACACUCGGUUCCCUCCGGAAUUCUAUACCACCUGGAAUUAAACCAACUCGUU